CAGACAACUAGGAUGUUGGCUUAGAAGCAGCCAUCAUUUAAAGAGUGCGUAAUAGCUCACUAGUCGAGUGACACUGCGCCGAAAAUGUACCGGGGCUAAACAUAUUACCGAAGCUGUGGAUUGUCCUUUGGACAAUGGUAGGAGAGCGUUCUAAGGGCGUUGAAGCAUGAUCGUAAGGACAUGUGGAGCGCUUAGAAGUGAGAAUGCCGGUGUGAGUAGCGAAAGACGGGUGAGAAUCCCGUCCACCGAUUGACUAAGGUUUCCAGAGGAAGGCUCGUCCGCUCUGGGUUAGUCGGGUCCUAAGCUGAGGCCGACAGGCGUAGGCGAUGGAUAACAGGUUGAUAUUCCUGUACCACCUAUAAUCGUUUUAAUCGAUGGGGGGACGCAGUAGGAUAGGCGAAGCGUGCGAUUGGAUUGCACGUCUAAGCAGUAAGGCUGAGUAUUAGGCAAAUCCGGUACUCGUUAAGGCUGAGCUGUGAUGGGGAGAAGACAUUGUGUCUUCGAGUCGUUGAUUUCACACUGCCGAGAAAAGCCUCUAGAUAGAAAAUAGGUGCCCGUACCGCAAACCGACACAGGUAGUCAAGAUGAGAAUUCUAAGGUGAGCGAGCGAACUCUCGUUAAGGAACUCGGCAAAAUGACCCCGUAACUUCGGGAGAAGGGGUGCUCUUUAGGGUUAACGCCCAGAAGAGCCGCAGUGAAUAGGCCCAAGCGACUGUUUAUCAAAAACACAGGUCUCUGCUAAACCGUAAGGUGAUGUAUAGGGGCUGACGCCUGCCCGGUGCUGGAAGGUUAAGAGGAGUGGUUAGCUUCUGCGAAGCUACGAAUCGAAGCCCCAGUAAACGGCGGCCGUAACUAUAA
rnacentral:rRNA from 1 species